UAAGCACUUCCAAUAAACACUGCCAUUGUCCAGCAGAACUGCACAACACCCAAAGAGAUGUCCCCGGAAAACCAAAGGUCACCUCUGUCCACUGGAAGAUAAGACAAAGUAAUUCUUCUGUACUACACUGGAGCAAAGCAUAUCACAAAAUUAUUCAGCCUGAACCAACGAGUCUUAGGUUGGGCUGGGGUGGAGGGGGUGGACGAGGUGCCGUACCUUUCAAGAAGCUUGACAUCCACAACAAUACAGACCUCAUUAAAAGACUGGUUUUUGAUUAAAUAAAAAGCCAAAGGGAAGGAUAUGGCUGUUAAUUGCAUGGGGCUGAUGCAAGAGCUGAAUCAACACAGAAGAGAGGUCAUUAAACCCAGCCGGUCCCCUUCGCCGCGUUUGUCUGACUGCCCCCCGAGCUGCCCCCCGCCCAACUGUUGUGCAAAUUCUGCCUUUAAUUUAACUUUGCAGUGUUGGGUUGCUGCAGUCCACCGGAAAUAAUCUUCCCCCAUCAUCUUCAAACCGCUGUUAUCCCCCCUGCUCGUAUUGUGCGGUCACGUACCCCCUUUGUUCAACUACCAAACUUCAAUUAAAAAAGGAGGAAUAUCUGGGCAUUCAUCAACUGAUUCAUUAUUUCGCAAUCCGGCACCAUCGUGGUUAUUUGGAUAGGUUGAUUAAUCUCUCUGUCAUGCAUCUAUAAAGACAUAUGAAGAUUACAUAUCAAAUAAAGACAGAAAAAAUAAUGAAAUAAAACCAUCAUCAAGACAUCGGCCAUCACAAAGAUAGAAGAAACGUUCAGAGCAUAGGAACGAGACCCAAAAGAUAUCUAAAUGAUCAGAUCUAAGUGUAUGGGUUGUAUACGUCAGAAUUAUGAAGAAAAAUAUGUUGGAUCGACAUUAUGAGCCCGCAUAUGGGAGGUCUUGAAGAUCAUCUAAUCUACGUUCUGGGAGUGAGAACUCGCACAUUAUUUAUGCUGACUGUGAAUUCUCAGCUGCACAAGCCUCAUUGUUUGCCGAGUCUAAAGGAAAGCAUUGUGCUCAACAUGUGUUUCUCAUGAAGACAUCUGUGUGCUGUACCGCAAAACUUGAAAAACAAAGUGAGGCUGAUGGAACGAGAGAGAAAAAGAGAUGUGCUGCAGAAGUUUGCGAAUUACUUUCAUGGUGUUUUGCUUUUAGUCUGACAUUGCAGAACGGCUCAUCUCAUCGUAAACAAGAACAUAUCUUGUUCCCUCUGCUAAAAUCAUUAAAUCUUCAGAAAAUGAUAUAUACAUAUUUAAUAAAGUCAUUUGGUGGUCGUGUAUACAGUAGCUGGACAAAGUUAUGUAAAUACAUAAACAGAUCAAAGAUUCAACUUUGUUUAAACUUGGUUUCCAAGGAAGUGAGGUCAUUUUUUAAGCCUGUGUGUCCACUUAUUUUUACCUGCUAUUAAAAGUCCAUAAGGAAUCGUUUCAGUCCUACAUGUUAUUCAAGCUUUACUCUGCAAGUUAAACAUAUCCAGACUGAAUCAAAUCCAUCACUGGCUGCUCUAUUCUGAAGGAGCCAUGAUAUAAUGCAGAUUUUUCUCUUAUUUUCUUUUCUUCUGUAUAUCCUGUAAUAAAUAUUGUGCAUAGUAAUCCUAAGCACAUUUGUGUUAUGGGGCAUGGUAAACCUGGACAUUAUUCUUGCUGCAGUCUUUCUUUGGAGAUGUUUACUAUGUGCACAUUUUUUACAGUCAAAUUUAUCAUUUGUAAAAUAACAGGUUUAAAUGCUUAUGGUUUAAACACUGGUUUAUGAAACAUGUAAACAUGAUUUAAAUAGAGCUUAAAUUUAUUGUAUAUUUUACAUUUCAUACAGUAAAUGUUCUUUGUCAGGCUGCAUUCAUUAAAGAGCACAUAUUGUCCGAUUCAUGAUUUUACAUUUCCUUUGGUGUGUACCGUGUGUAUAGUACAUUUUAAUGAUAUGCAAAAGGUACAAAUCCCAAACACUGAAACAAAUGAUUCAUUCAA